rnacentral:rRNA from 1 species
UACGUAGGGUCCGAGCGUUGUCCGGAAUUACUGGGCGUAAAGAGCUCGUAGGUGGUUUGUCGCGUUGUUCGUGAAAACUCACAGCUCAACUGUGGGCGUGCGGGCGAUACGGGCAGACUUGAGUACUGCAGGGGAGACUGGAAUUCCUGGUGUAGCGGUGGAAUGCGCAGAUAUCAGGAGGAACACCGGUGGCGAAGGCGGGUCUCUGGGCAGUAACUGACGCUGAGGAGCGAAAGCGUGAGGAGCGAACAGG